rnacentral:rRNA from 1 species
CCUACGGGAGGCUGCAGUGGGGAAUAUUGCACAAUGGGCGAAAGCCUGAUGCAGCAACGCCGCGUGCGGGAUGACGGCCUUCGGGUUGUAAACCGCUUUCGCCUGUGACGAAGCGUGAGUGACGGUAAUGGGUAAAGAAGCACCGGCUAACUACGUGCCAGCAGCCGCGGUGAUACGUAGGGUGCGAGCGUUGUCCGGAUUUAUUGGGCGUAAAGGGCUCGUAGGUGGUUGAUCGCGUCGGAAGUGUAAUCUUGGGGCUUAACCCUGAGCGUGCUUUCGAUACGGGUUGACUUGAGGAAGGUAGGGGAGAAUGGAAUUCCUGGUGGAGCGGUGGAAUGCGCAGAUAUCAGGAGGAACACCAGUGGCGAAGGCGGUUCUCUGGGCCUUUCCUGACGCUGAGGAGCGAAAGCGUGGGGAGCGAACAGGCUUAGAUACCCCAGUAGUC